rnacentral:rRNA from 1 species
AGAGUUUGAUCCUGGCUCAGAACGAACGCUGGCGGCGUGCUUAAGACAUGCAAGUCGAACGAGAAAGGGGCUUCGGCCCUGAGUACAGUGGCGCACGGGUGAGUAACACGUGGGUAAUCUGCCUUUAGGUUCGGGAUAACUCGGGGAAACCUGGGCUAAUACCGGGCAAGACCUCGGAGCUCUUGGGCUCGGCGGUAAAAGAUGGCCUCUUCUUGAAAGCUAUCGCCUGAAGAUGAGCCCGCGUCCCAUUAGCUAGUUGGUGAGGUAACGGCUCACCAAGGCAGUGAUGGGUAGCUGGUCUGAGAGGACGAUCAGCCACACUGGAACUGAGACACGGUCCAGACUCCUACGGGAGGCAGCAGUCGGGAAUUUUGGGCAAUGGGGGCAACCCUGACCCAGCAACGCCGCGUGAGCGAUGAAGGCCUUCGGGUCGUAAAGCUCUGUCGAGAGGGAAGAAUGUCCUCGCGAUGAAUAAUCUCGGGGGAUUGACGGUACCUCUAAAGGAAGCGCCGGCUAACUCCGUGCCAGCAGCCGCGGUAAUACGGAGGGCGCAAGCGUUGUUCGGAAUCACUGGGCGUAAAGCGCGUGUAGGCGGCUUGGUAAGUCGGGUGUGAAAGCCCGGAGCUCAACUCCGGAACGGCACUCGAAACUGCCUCGCUCGAGUCCCGGAGAGGGUGGUGGAAUUCCCGGUGUAGAGGUGAAAUUCGUAGAUAUCGGGAGGAACACCAGUGGCGAAGGCGGCCACCUGGGACGGUGACUGACGCUGAGACGCGAAAGCGUGGGGAGCAAACAGGAUUAGAUACCCUGGUAG